rnacentral:lncRNA from 1 species
AAGAUGCCUAAGCAGGCACGGACCUCUCAGGGAGUGCACUCUUGAUCCCACAUAAGGAGGAGCUGUUUGGACAAUGUGGAGACUUCAGAAAAGCCUGUGUAGAAGCUGUUCCAGCCACAGCAAUGUGACAGCGUUUCAGGCAAUUUUAUUGUAGGACCUCUUUCCCAGGAAAGAAGAACACCCUAAUCCCUCAAUAAACUCUCAACAAUGUACAAGGUAUAAUCUAUUUCUGUCUUUUCCAGGAUCAAGGAAUUCAAACAUUAACCAGCAGCACAAACCAAGACACUUCUCCAUUCCUUCUUGCUUCCUCUCCCCACCAAAUUUCCUUCCUGAUCCUGCUCUUUCCUAGGACUUUGGAGAGGACUGAGAUUACUCAAAGUGCCACGAGACACCAGCCAUUGAUCUUACACAGGCUGCAACCCAGCUCAUAUUAGUAUUUAUAUUAAAAUUAUCUAACAAAUAAAACUAAUAAAAGGAAGAAUGUAUUAAAUAUCUUUCCCA